AGUUUAUAGCCACCGUUUGAGUUUUUCUUCCGCUGUGUCUGCUGUUUGAUUUUAGAAUUAAACACUUAUUUUAAAUAACUUGUCGAUUUGCAAAACAGCAAAAAAUAAAUUAAAAGUACAUUUUGAUUUCACGCUGGUUUUCACCAAAUAGCUUUGAGGUUAUUAUCGACCUGUCAAGAAGACAUUUUUCGUCUAGCUGUGCACGCAAAAUUCGCAAAAUAGGAGACGAAAACCCUUUUAAGUUUUCAAAUUUCAUAUCAAAUCUGCCACCAAUAGGUGGUAGAGUGAUGCCGCGCUGCAGCAAGCGGACGCGCGGCGCGGUGACGGGUGACGUGGGCGUGCCCGGGGCCACCGCGAUCGACGCCCAGCAACACAAGCGCUCACGCAACACCAGUUCACGACGACAUUCCAAAGCAGAGGACUCCAGUUUCAGUGCAAAGAAAUGUUUAGCAUGGUUCAAAGAGUACACCACAGUCUCAGAGCCAGAUGUAUUAGGCCCUGAAGGAAUGGAGAAAUUCUGCGAAGACAUAGGAGUGGACCCGGAGAAUGUUGUGAUGCUGGUCAUCGCUUACAAAAUGGGUGCCAAACAAAUGGGCUACUUCACGCAAGAGGAGUGGCUUAAAGGCUUAACGGAACUGCAAUGUGACAGCGUCCACAAGCUUCAGAUGAAACUCGACUACCUCAAGAGCUUACUCAACGACCCCUACAUAUUUAAGGCUGUAUACAGAUAUUCUUAUGAUUUUGCUAGGGAUAAAGAACAACGUUCACUGGACACGGCCACAGCCCGAGCGCUGCUCGGCGUGCUGCUGCCGCGCUGGGCGCUGCGCCCCGCGCUCAACGACUUCCUGCAGCGCGAGGGCGCCGCGCGCCGCUACCGCGUCGUCAACCGCGACCAGUGGUGCAACAUACUGGAGUUCAGCCGCACCGUGGACAACCAGCUGCAGCACUACGACGCGGACGGCGCAUGUGAGUACACUCGACGACUUCCUGCAGCGCGAGGGCGCCGCGCGCCGCUACCGCGUCGUCAACCGCGACCAGUGGUGCAACAUACUGGAGUUCAGCCGCACCGUGGACAACCAGCUGCAGCACUACGACGCGGACGGCGCAUGUGAGUACACUCGACGACUUCCUGCAGCGCGAGGGCGCCGCGCGCCGCUACCGCGUCGUCAACCGCGACCAGUGGUGCAACAUACUGGAGUUCAGCCGCACCGUGGACAACCAGCUGCAGCACUACGACGCGGACGGCGCAUGUGAGUACACUCGACGACUUCCUGCAGCGCGAGGGCGCCGCGCGCCGCUACCGCGUCGUCAACCGCGACCAGUGGUGCAACAUACUGGAGUUCAGCCGCACCGUGGACAACCAGCUGCAGCACUACGACGCGGACGGCGCAUGUGAGUACACUCGACGACUUCCUGCAGCGCGAGGGCGCCGCGCGCCGCUACCGCGUCGUCAACCGCGACCAGUGGUGCAACAUACUGGAGUUCAGCCGCACCGUGGACAACCAGCUGCAGCACUACGACGCGGACGGCGCAUGUGAGUACACUCGACGACUUCCUGCAGCGCGAGGGCGCCGCGCGCCGCUACCGCGUCGUCAACCGCGACCAGUGGUGCAACAUACUGGAGUUCAGCCGCACCGUGGACAACCAGCUGCAGCACUACGACGCGGACGGCGCAUGUGAGUACACUCGACGACUUCCUGCAGCGCGAGGGCGCCGCGCGCCGCUACCGCGUCGUCAACCGCGACCAGUGGUGCAACAUACUGGAGUUCAGCCGCACCGUGGACAACCAGCUGCAGCACUACGACGCGGACGGCGCAUGUGAGUACACUCGACGACUUCCUGCAGCGCGAGGGCGCCGCGCGCCGCUACCGCGUCGUCAACCGCGACCAGUGGUGCAACAUACUGGAGUUCAGCCGCACCGUGGACAACCAGCUGCAGCACUACGACGCGGACGGCGCAUGUGAGUACACUCGACGACUUCCUGCAGCGCGAGGGCGCCGCGCGCCGCUACCGCGUCGUCAACCGCGACCAGUGGUGCAACAUACUGGAGUUCAGCCGCACCGUGGACAACCAGCUGCAGCACUACGACGCGGACGGCGCAUGGCCAGUAAUGUUGGACGAGUUCGUGGAGUGGCUACGUGCGGAGCGGGCCGAGCGGGCUGGCGGCAGCUGAGCGCACACGAGCGUUGCUGCACACGUGAAAACGAUCACACGCACUGUAAGUUUCCUGACGAGAGCGAGUUGUGAUUGAGUAGUAAAGAAUAUGUCGAAAAAGGUUUGUUAAGGCGGUUUUUUAGCAAUAAAGUAACAAAUCUGUACACAAAUGUUUGUAUUAUAAGACAUGUAAUCAAAUGUGACGGUACCAUGUUGGUUGUCGAUGAGGUUGAUUUCAUACUGAAGCUUUACGGAAAUAGCGCUUUAUUAGUACCGCGCGACAAUUAGUACCAUUUGUGUUGAAAACGUCACAAAUAUAGGGUACCACUAAUCUGGUUUACCAGUAAUCCCCCCCCCCCACACAAUUAUUUUAAAACAGCAAUAAUGACUUAUUUAAAAAUGGGGGGGGGGACAUGAAAAAGGCAAAAUUAAUACUCAAACCAGGAAAUGACACCAUUCCCAGUCUGACAAUAAUGUACAGUAAGCUGGAGAGAUAACUGAGCCCCCUGUAUAUUUGUUUGCGGGGGGGGGGGGGGGGGAUCUCUGCAGCUAACUCAUAAUUUUUCGAACACGCCACCUUGCAAAACUUUCCACGGCAGAAUAUCUUAAAAACUCCAUUAUAACUCUCCUCUCUAGUUUAAAUAUAAAAAUUAUAAAAUUUUAAAGUGGUGUAGAUCAUUUUCGCGUUACUGAGACCAUCGAUCGUAAUUAAUUAAAGUGAUUUUAUAAUUUAGAUGUUUGUUUGUUUGUAUCUUCUGUUCGCACGAACCAAAAUGUUAUCUGACAAUAGGGAUUCCGCAACACUGCGUAGGGGGCGCCACUAGCACAAACUGUAAACAAUGAUGCAUCAAUGUCAUAUUUAUUCGUAACAAAUGAUCUUGUCAAAAAACUGUUUAAGGCAUAGUAUAAUGUAAGUUACUCCAUGGUUUACGUUACGGUUUGUGCUAGUGCUGCACUCUGGCGGUAGAAUAUUGUAGUGACCCUAUGUGGUUGGCUGGUCAAUUUUUUUCAAAGAUGGCGCCAGUGCAGGUUUCCCUGUCAAUUCUACCAAUAAUGUUAACUUUUUUUUAUUUAUGACUCGGAUACUAGCCUUUUACGCCAAAACCCUUAUAACAAUAGGAACUGGGGGAAACCUAUGCUUGCGCCAUCUAUAAAUAUAAACUUGACAGCUGUCAACCCCAUUAGUGAACUUUAAUGCAAAGACAAAACCUAUGCGUAUACGUAGAUGAAAACGUACACGUGCACGUUGUAAUAUACAGUACCUUAUGAGAGAUGGCACACUGCUUGCGUGUCUUUAUGCGUGCACGGCUCCAAGAAAUUAGAGCACGCGCUCUUGCACGUCUGCGCACACGCAGCCGGUGUGCUCAGCCCUAUAAGGUCCAGUCGCCAUCAGAUAUAUCGCACCGGCCACGCUGUUCAAAAAUGACUCUAACGCCUUGACAAUAGACGCGUGUUCCGAUAUUUGUGAGUACCUUGUCCGCUCCGAUAUAUCUGAUGGCGACUGUCCAUCGAUAGUCCGUUAAAAGCUAUUAGAACGUUCCUUGCAUUUUGGGCGCCAAUGUAACUUUACAAAAGUAUAAGACAAUAACAUACUUAAGCUCUGUUUUUGUAUCCCUUUAGACACUAAAAUGAUUAUUUGAUUGACCAAUUCUCCUCAAUCCUGGUUUUUGAUUCCCAACCCAAAAGAAAAAUAUAAGUUUGACCGCUAUGUGUAUGGUCUGUCUGUAGCACUGUAGCUGUUAAAGGGGGGAACCGAUUUUGAUGCGAUUAUUUUAUGAAAUGAGUUUUUCUAGCGGUCUUUCUUAGAAUGUUUUAUCAAUACUGGUUGAUCAGUUGCGGGUUUUAAAUGUUAAUGUUAUGUAAUGAAUAGAAUCAAGCGUUACUUUGCUGAAAACCAUAUUAAAUAAAACAAAAAAAUAUGAAAUGUAAAUAUUUAUUUUUCGUUUUUUAUUGUGGAACAUACCACAUUACAAUCUAUAAAUUGUAUAUACAGAUAUCAAUCAAUCAAUCAUUGUGAUUGACUUCUGUAUAUACAAUUUAUAGAUUAAAAAAAAAUUACUUUGCCAAUCCGCGAAAAGAUAACGUGCUAGUCAAUCAGUGCUAACCCGUUAUACUUGCGUAUUUUUACAUGCAAUGAAUGUUGCCACCCUCCCACCGCAAAAAUAAAUACGCAAAUAAAUAUAACAAUCCACCACCGAAAGUACAAAACUCGACACGUGUUUCGCCUCUCUACGAGGCAUCAGGAGAGAGGAUUUGCGUAUUUAUUUUUGCGGUGGGAAGGUGGGAACAUUAAUUGCAUGUAAAAAUACGCAAGUAAGUAUAACGGUUUAGCACUGAUUGACUAGCAUGUUAUCUUUUCGCGGAUUAGCAAAGUAAUAUUUUUUUGUUAUAAUGUUUUAAUUAAUGUUAUGUACUAAAAAACAGGUGAGACAAGUUGGUGCAAUUGAAUUCAUUUUGAUAUCUAAGGUAUAAAAACAAGGAUUGCAAUAAUCAUAUGUUCCAUAAAUAACCUAGCAGAAAUGAAAUGUAGGCUACAGUAAAAUUCUGAACGGUUUAAACAUACUAUCGAAGUAAAUACAAGUUUUCUAUAUCCAGUAACCAGAAGCGCUUUCUACUGUUAAUGUCGUCCAUGAUGCCGGCGAACAAUGACAUGUGCGAGAUGGACAGCAAUAUAAUUACGCGCGUGCGAUAGAGAUAGCAACACGCGGGUCAAUGUACGAAAUCGUGCUAAGCGUCCUUUCUUUAACAAUAUGCAAGAUGCCUUGGUAACGUUGCAGUAGCGAAAGUGUUUCUAAAGUAAAAGUGCUUUUGGUUUUAAAUAUAUUUGCGGUUUCCAAAACUACCCCGUUUACUAAGUCACCCCGAUGCACCCUACUUAAAGAUAUUUUCCCUAACCGUGCUUCCUUGUCGAAUUAAAUUUCACUGCUAUGUAGUGCCAAACCAUUUUGCCUAUAACAAACCAAGUCACAGUCAAAAUGGUCACAACUCAAAAUAAGAUACGUUAUCUUUUGUCUCGAAAUAUUAUAUGUUACAUCUAAAAUAGGUACGGGAAUCUCAAAAUAUCAAAUUAUAUACUUAAUUGAAACUUAUCUCUCAAAUUAAAUAACCAAAGAUUCAUUCAGAGUGUAACAUCUAAGAAACAUGCAAUUGAAAAAACAACACUGAAUGUUAAAUUAUUAAUUAUUCAGUUUUCAUUGUUUUUCACAUUUUCAACUACUCUAAAUGUUUUCUGGAAGAAAUCGCUCUAGCGAUACAACCGCCUGUUGUUUCUCCUUUAAUAUGUUGUGUUCUAAUUUGUAUCGAUAUAUGUAUAUCGGUAGUCGAUAAACGAAAAUUCCGGCCCCUGGUAAUAAACUCUUUAAAAUAACAUCAUAUUUUGAGUUGCGAUCUUUUGAUAAAUAAAUCCCAUGAAUAAAUAUUUCCAAUAUAUCUUGAAUGAGUAAAAAUGAUUAUAUGGUGUAAAUGUAAACAAGCAUUAUUAGGAUUAACAGUUUUGAAUGAUUCACGGUUAGUUUCACUAGACUUAUACCGAAAUAUGGACCGUGAUUAGAUUACCUUUUGUAUUGUUUUCGAGCUCCCGAUAUUUCGACGCAGUCUACACAAAUUUGACACCCACCCGCUAUCUCCAGUGAGUGAAUAAGUUGCAUGUAACUGCAUCGAAAUAUCGAUAGCUCUAAAACAAUAAUAAAAGAAUUAAAAAAAUGGCAGCUUAAUCGAUGGUUUUACUCAGUUGACGAAUUCUAUAAACAUGAUCAAUUAGAAAAUAAUUAAUUGAAUCUACCAAUAUAGUAUCUAAUUGUUUUGAUUUUAUUUAUGAUGUAAUAAUGUUUAUUAAUUUAUUUUUAUUAGGUUUGACAUUAGUUUUAUUUGCUUUGAUCAUUGUAUUCUUUUUUUCUUUUUUGUAUCUAGACCUUUUGUGUUUUAUCUUUUCAUUUCUAUUUUGCACUGACAUUUGUAUUUAUUAGUAGUAAUGCGCAUUUUAUUAUAACGAUACCUUUUUAUUUAGUGUAAUUUUUAAAAUUUGAUUGUAUAUACACCGUGUUUUUUUUUUAUUUGCGUUAAUUUCGAGGGUGCAUUCCUGAGCUUAAAUUAAAUAACUUUCUCAAAGACACCGAUAUUCUAAUUAACUCCAUUUCGGAGAUAAUCAAUCAUACAUUUUUAUAUUAUAAGGCCCUUACGAGCGUGUACACUUGCCUUAGGGCCUGUUUACUUAUUGAUUAGUGUUUAGUGCGAGUUCAUACAUUUGCUACUAAACGUACGUACUAUCUCGGACGAUCGAUGUUAGAAAUGACAUUGAUUAUCACAGUUUUCAAUUGUUUGGUUGAGUUAAAUGUAAUGCCCGUGUUACAACAACGCUAUAUGCAACAUUUAGUUACUUUUUAUAAAAAUAAAAAUAGUAAAAAAAAAAACAAAAAAUUUUUUUUUUUCAAAAUUUACUAUGCCAUUUAGUUUCCUUAAACGUACUUACCGAAACCCCGGAGUUAACGCAAUUCAAUAAAAACACGGUGUAUAGAUUAAGACCAUAUUCAUUUGCAUGUCACUAUGCGACGAGGUAGUUGAUUCCUACUAUGUGUAAACCUGUAUGAACUUUCAUGUACACUAUCUUAUGCAAAUAAAUAAAUAAUAAAAUAAAUGGAGCAUGCACAAAGCCGUGACGAGUGGCGGAAAACAGGGGAGGCCUUUGCCCAGCAGUGGGACACAAUGUAGGCUAUUAAAAAAUAAAAAAUAAUAAAAAUAAUAAAAUAAUACAAAAGGUAAUCACGGUUCACAUCCUGGUCAAUAUAAGUAAAUAUUCUUUAUUGUGCACCAUACAGUUAAAAAUAAACAGGAAAUGAAAAAACACUUAAAAGUUAGGUAACAACGGGCGGUCUUAUCGCUAAGAAGCGAUCUCUUCCAGACAACCUUUGUCUGUAUAAGUCUAAUGAUUAGGAUUAAUUUAUUUUAUAAUUGAAAACACUGAUUAUUUAAUGGUUGCAUAAAUGUAUCGAUGGAUCGAAACGUACUUUAAUUUAUUCGGUAGGUCGUUUGAAUCACGCGAUAAAAAUGGGUUUUAUGAAGUUUCUUUACUAAUACAGUGUUCAGUACCCCUAAGUGUAAAUAAAUUCGAUUUUGAAACGUGACGUACGCGUUUGCGUUUAGUCUCAUUUUGUAUGUGAUUUAGAAAGAGCGCGCCAAGCGGGACGUUUUGGAAACUCAAAAUGCUAUACAAAAUGACACUUAACGCAAACGCGUUCGUCACGUUAUGAUGUCGAUAAAACUUACACUAGGGGUACAGAACUAUUAUAUGAAACUAGCCUCUAAAAUACCAUAGGUGUAAGAAAAACUUUCAACCCCGUUUUCCAUCCUUACGCCGCUUGUAUACGUCCGCUGUUCGCUGUUGUUUAUUUAAUAAACGGAUUUAUUAUUAUUAUGACGGCCUUCGAUAUUUUUAAUGUUUUUUUUUAGCAAAGAAGCUUUAAAAAACCAAAUAACUACUACAACGUAUUUUGAUUUCCGUAAACGGAUUGAUAGGGUCAUAACGCCAUUAAAAAACAAAUAACUGAUCAAUAGGGAUUUACAAAUUUACCCCCUUAUUCAUAAACGUCUAUUAAAGUUAACAAGCUGCUAAUAAUCGUUUAUCCCUUUCUAUCAUACUAAUACGUAGGAAAGGAACAAACGAUUAUAGCGGCUUCUUAACUUUAGUAGACGUUUAUGAAUAAGGGGGUUAUGUUCUUCAUACUCUUGAUUAGAUUAUCUCAUAUAUUUAAGGCUUGGUUGGUACGGUCGCAGAAUUUAAUUGGGUACUUGACACAUGUUGAAUAUUAUAACAAACUUUAGUUAAAUGGAUAGAAAAUGAGCCAUCCAUUAUAAAAAAAGUGGAAUUUAAAAAAAUAUAUUGAGAUUAUAAAAAAAUACAAGGCUCCAAAGUCUCAAUUUUUUUUGUCUUUCAAAAAUAGAAAAAAAGGCACCAUUCGAUUCCUUACAUUUUAAUGAAAAAUAAAGUGUACGACAUCUAUACACAUAAACGCAAUAUUUCAGGGUCAAUUUCCUUGAUCUUCCAUUUAGGACAGACUUAUAUAAUAUGACGUCACAUCACAUUAUCAUUUUGUUAGAGGCGUUUCAAUCGUCGAGUGCGAGCGUCAGACUAACUCUUAUUUCUGACCUUUGUGUUGCUUAAAUGCCAUGAGUCCUAUAUAGACGUUUGAUCCUCAGGAAAAUCAAGAUCGUUUGACAUUAUUUACAAAAAAUUGUCAGUAGCAAAUUGUUGAUCUAUGGGGAUCUAAAUAGCCCAACAAUUAAAAUCCGUGCCUGUACAUACUUUAAAUUCAACGAUUCAUUAUGUAACAUAAUAAAUGAAGGAAGCCUUUACAGCUGGAGUUAGAAUACAAUUUAAUUAUUUUGUAUUACAUCAAGUGAAUUUCGUUUCUCACAAAGUCAAGUGUCAUUAACGCAUUUUGUGUUGUAAAAUAUCUAAGUUACCUAACUUUCAAAGCAAAACUCGUAAUUAUCGCCAAAAUAAGAGCUUUCAAAUAUAUUACAGAAACGUUUGAAAAUAUCGUCACGGUCAAAGUGCCGAAAAUAUGUAUACACUAUCUUAACAUACGGGCAAUAAAAUCGUGUAUACUUAUUUUUGGCACUUUGUCCGUGUCGAUAUUUUCAGACGUGAUUGUAGCAUCUCUUAGUCCUACCCACCGAACUAAUUCAGUAGAACAUACUUAAUAGGUAAUAGGGUGCGGCCACACCGCCGGAUUCGGCUUAUUUUUCGAUGGCGUCUCUCGCUGGCCAAGGAAAAGACGCCAUCACGAUUUGCCGAAUCCCUGCUGCAUGUCUGGACGCACCAGCAGAAAAGAGCCUACCUUUGUCAACUGAAUUGUACUUUAUUUAUGCAAACAAAACGUCUUAUUUAAAUUCUAUAGUAUGAAUUUUCUCAAAUGUUUUUUACGCCUAGGAGCCUAAUAUGUUAAAAGCCAUUGUUUCUUUUGUGCGAGCGGUCGGCUCCCGUUUUGAGCGCGUGGUUAAGCAACAACGUCGUUUUAAAAGCGGCUGUGUCCUGGUGGUUUGAAGGUACAAAUCUAUGUAAUUAUAUGAGCGCUCGCCUACAGGUAGGUGGUCGAUCGUCCUACAUUACCAAAACAUGUUACAUGUACAUAGAUGUGAACCUUAAAACAACCACGAUACAGCCGCUUUUUACAAGCUGUUAUUUGGGUGAAUCAACUUUUUUUGUUUUAUUAUCCUGUCCCGUUGUCCAAGGGACAACAGUGGCACAGUUUGUUUGAAGAGACGUUGUAUGCCGUUCUAUUAACAUGCUUAGUAGGGGGCCCAUUAUGGACAUUGGUUAUAAUGACCACAAAAACGCAAGUUUAAUUCAUUUAAGUACCAUAAAAUCAGUAUUUCAAUGAACUUUUGUCCCCUGGACAACUAAUCGUAACCAUGGCAACGAGUGACGCUAAAAAGUUGAUUCUCCCAUUUACUUUCACCUGACCGUUGUCUGUUUGUAAUCAAAUCUUGCAAGUUAAAUUUGAUCCACUUCCCGGUUUCCGAUUGAGCUGAAAAUUUGCAUACAUAUGUAAGUCGGGUGACAAUGCAAUAUUAUGGUACCAUGGAGCUGAUCUGAUGAUGGAGACAAGAGGUGGACAUAGGAACUCUGUGAUAAAACAACGCAAACUAAUUGUGUUUGGGGUUUUUAGAAUUUGCUCGAUGAGUAUUAGUUGCGUCAGCGAUAAAAGCUUGUACCAAAAAAGGAAUUUUUGCCAAAAACUUAUUAUACGACAUUCUUGCUUUGGCACGCGAUCAAAACGGGAGCUCACCACUCGCACAAAAGAAAGAAUAGCCUUUGUUUAACAAUUUAGAGUCUUAGGCGUAAAAAUAGUUUGAGAAAAUUGAUAUGUACUAUAAUUAUCAAACAAGCUGCUUCUAAAAACUCAGUACAAGUGCAAAUAAAUUAAUGUUUGUAUUUAGUUACUUUAAGAAUACAAUUUUAAUUAUUUAAAUCAAAAUGUAUCACAUUGUCAGUUGUCGAUAAGGUUGAUUUCAAAUUGAAGCUGGAAAUAUCGCCUUAUUGACAGCCGACAAGUACCCGUUUGGUUGAAAAUGACACACAUGUAGAGAUAUAUGACAGCAAUAUGGUUUUGCGUGUAUUGGGGGUAUAUUUUUGUUUGCAAUUAACAAUAGUUAAUAUAGUUAGGUCUUGGUUUAGUCUGUCUUAAAGUUAGUGUUAGUAAGACUCGAGUCCUUCGAGUUAUCUGUUUAAAAACUCGACUCGGUUCAGACUCUUAUAAUUAAGUCUACUCGAGUUCUUUUCAACUUGUUAUAGACCUGAGUCUUUUGUAGAGACGUUUCACAGAAAUCUCUUUUAGGGUUCCGUAGCCAAAUGACAAAAAAACGGAACCCUUAUGGAUCCAUUUCCGUCUGUCUGUCCGAUUAUGUCACAGCCACUUUUUUCCGAAACUAUAAGAACUAUACUGUUCAAACUUGGUAAGUAGAUGUAUUUUAUGAACCGCAUUAAGAUUUUCACACAAAAAUAGAAAAAAAAAACAAUAAUUUUUGGGAGUUCCCCAUACUUAACUGUAAUUAAAAAAAAUUUUUUUUCAUGAAACCCAUUCGUGUGGUGUAUCUAUGGAUAGGUCUUCAAAAAUGAUAUUGAGGUUUCUAAUAUGAUUUUUUUCUAAACUGAAUAGUUUGCGCGAGAGACACUUCCAAAGUGGUAAAAUGUGUCCCCCCCCCCCUGUAACUUCUAAAAUAACAGAAUGAAAAAUCUAAAAAAAAUAUAUGAUGUGCAUUACCAUGCAAACUUCCACCGAAAAUUGGUUUGAACGAGAUCUAAUAAGUAGUUUUUUUUAAUACGUCAUAAUGGUACGGAAACCAUUCAUGGGUGAGUCCGACUUGCACUUGGCCGCUUUUUUUAUACAAAUUUGAAAUGCAUUGUAGUUAUUUAAGUAAUAUAAGUGGAAUAGGUACACAAAUCAUACAAUAACGCCUAAUUUCUUGACUGUUAUUUAGGUAAAACCUAUAAAAUUGUUGACGGAGUCUUUAUUCGGCUCGAGUCCUUUAGAGAUGCUCUUAAAAAAGACUCAAUAAAGGACUCGGAUCGGGACUUAAAAGACUUAGAAGUUUUUUAAGUGGCCGAGUCUUAUAAAACGAAUCGAGUACUUACCAAAACCACCUUAAGUCGUUUGGAAAAAUUUGUUUAUAAACAGUUUAAUACAUUUACUAACCAAUGUAUAAAGCUCAAGGCAACUAUCCGAACGAUGACGAGAAGCGAGUAGCAACGAGCAAGUAUUUUGUAUUAAAUAUUGUUUUCGGCGAAAUGUUUUCUCACUAACAAUGCAUAAAAGUUACUAUCAUCAAUUAAUACUUUUUCUUACCAAGCCUACAUUUUCACGUAGGACCUUUUUUGAGUUAGAAAAUAGUAGAUUGAUAGUCUUUCUCGAUCGGAAAUCUGCCUUAAGAGCUCAUCAGCGUGCUCACUAGCGCCACUGGUUCAUACAUCAAACUGUUUCUAUGUUGCUGGAUUCAUCGAUCUAUGAACUCAAAACAAAAACGGCCGUUUUAAUUUUGGACGCCUAGAUUGACGAAUCCAGCAACGUAAAAACUAUUAUGUUGUAUUCAAAAGGUACUUAAAUACAUAAUACAGUACGUAGCGGUCCCCUUUUUUAAAUACCUAUCGUUAAAUUUGAAUAGUCACAAUUAUUAAUUAUUAGCAGUGGCGCUAGUGAGCACGUUGAUGGGCUCUUAAACUAUCAGUAACAUUUUUAUCCAUUUUCUUGGCAUAUAAAAAAAAACGCGAGCUCACGCUACGAUUGUGCGCCUGAUAGAGCAAAAAUGUUCUUUAAAAAAAUACAAAAAAAAUGAGACUAAAAUUAUGCAUCAUGUAAGAUGUUAAGAAAAGGGUUAAAGUUAAGUGUUGGUAGGAACUCGAGUCUUGAGUCUAAAUGUGAUGAAUUCGAGCCGUUUUUACGCGACUCAGCGCUUAAAAAACUUCCGAGUCUUUCAGCCCUGAGUUAAGUCCUUUAUUUAGUCUUUUUUUACUUAAAAACACUCGAGCCUUCGGAUAAAGGCUUCGUCAAAAAAACGAGGUUUUAUCUAAACGCACACAGGAAAUAGGCGUUAUUGAAUAUGUGUGAACCUUACUCUUUAACUUUGUAGACAAUGCCUUUUCACAAAUGUUAAAUACGUAAUUUACAAAUUAUCUUUAAAGGACUCAAGUCUUUACAGAAGACUCAGGUCUCGAUAAGAACUCAAGUUUCUACUCAAUGACUAGUCUGAACAACCGAGUCGAGUCUUAAAGCAGAGGACUCAACGGACUUGAGUCUAAACUAACAUUAGUUGUGUCCCCGAAAAGUUAUCUUUCAGCUUGAUGUAGUCUGUCACGCCAUUUCUGUGAGUAGAAAAAAGCGGCAAAUUUCAAAAAUGUAGGCGCGAAGGAUCGUCCCGUAGAAAAUUUUAAUUUCGAAUCUUUUUCUACUAACAAAGUUGUUUCUUCUCUUCUUCCUCGCGUUGUCCCGGCAUUUUUACCAUGGCUCAUGGAAGCCUGGGGUCCGCUUGACAAACAAUCCCAAGAUUUGGCGUAGGCACUAGUUUUUACGAAAGCGACUGCCAUCUGACCUUCCAACCCAGAGGGUAAACUAGGCCUUGUUGGGAUUAGUCCGGUUUCCUCACGAUGUUUUCCUUCACCGAAAAGCGACUGGUAAAUAUGAAAUGAUAUUUCGUACAUUAACUUCCGAAAAACUCAUUGGUACGACAGACUAUUUACAAGUAGAUCUGACUUUUGUCUAUUAUUUACGAUUACUAUUGUUUAUGAACAAAUGCCUACCAAUGAAACGGUCAACAAUGAAAUUAGAUAAAUAUUAUACCUAAAAUUAUCUGUAAAUUAAUCAUUAGUGAUUUUGUAUAAAUUAUAAAUAGUAUAUGUAACGGAAUCUUGUUUCGUUGUUGGCUGUACUUCCAAUGUUUCAUAUAAAAUCUGUUUCUUGUAAGAGAUGUACAGUGAGCAUUAGUAAAAGAUAGCUUUUCUGUAGUGUGCUGUUUUUCAAUGCUGAUUGUACAUCGAUAAGCCAAUUAGCGUUAUAAAAUACAAGCUAUUUGUUACCAAGUUUGUGUCAAAAGUAAAUAUUUUGUUACACGUUGUAAUGACCGACUAAGUUCUAUGUAGUCGUUCAUUCAUUUAAUAUGGAAUAUUAUUCAAAAGUGUGCGUAGGGGGCGCCACUAGCACAAACUCUAAAGAAACCAUCUUGGCGCAUUAAUGUCAUAUUUUUUCGUAACAAAUAAUCAGUGAAAACUUGUCAAAAAACUAUUUAAGGCAUAAUAUAUAUAAGCAAAAGAUACAUAGAUUGGGUAAGAUGUGUAAAAUCUAAGACAAUUUCGUGCUUCGAAAUUAAUAGGUAAACGAGAUGGCGCUGUAACAGCGCCAUCUGUUUUGCAUGUCAAACUAAGGGGCACGUACUACAAUACACCUUUUUCUUAGACUUUACCUCUCUAUAACAAUCAAUUCCCUUUGAUAUAAGUUACUCUAUGGUUUACGGUUUGUGCUGGUGCUGCCUCUGGCGGCAGAAAAUUGCAGUAUUACUCCUUAUUUAUACUCUUUGAGCUGUUUUAAUUACUGAGAUUCCGAAGCCAAUGCAAUAUGCUGACUUGGAGCUGAUCUGAAGUAAGCCAAAGGAACUCCUUGAUGCAAAAACAAACACAUUUCAGGCCUCGAGGACCUUUGGUUGGACACUGCAAUAAAUAUGGAUAUAUUUGACAGUAACUUGUGUUGAUAUGGCUUGUCAUUUAUAAUGUAAUUGUUAUCUAAGCUAUAACCAGACUGGACCCCAAUGUUCCAUAGACUAGCUGUGCCUAGUCAAGCGCCCGCCGGUGAGAGAACUUGGUAAAGAUAUUGACAUAAUUUUGAAUAGUGAACCCUAUGUCUUGGCAAUAAGGAUUAAGGGUCUUCCCACACCUGUUAACGCGGAAUCGGCAAUAGCCAAUAGUUUAUGUCUACGCAAUAAAAGGAAAAAAGAUGGCGUCGCGUCGUUAGGUGUCGGCCGAGCCGAAAUUUCUUCUAUCGGCUUUUGGGAGUAUCAAUUUAAAGCUGUAUUUUGAAUUACAUUUUAUAUUUUAGAAUUUUUAUAUUAUAUCCACUCAGAAUAACGAGCUCUUUCGAUCCUAAUGCGUGAAAAUAAGUGUCCCCUAAAUUUCAUACAUUUUUUGGUAUCUGCUUGGUUACGGUCAUAGGUUGUAUUGAAAAUGUAACCAAAUGGAUCAAAAAAUUCGAGACAUUUUUUUUCCUCGGUAUAAAUAGAAAGAGCUCGGGAUUCUGAGUAGAAAUAAUAUGAAAAGUUCUAAUUCUAUUACAAAAGUUUUUAGUACAACUUUAAUAUGCCCUUUAGCCGAUUCAGCGUCGUUAGGUGUGGGGAUCCCCUAAGUGGACGCUCGAAGCGGAGCGUUGGGCGGGGCGUGCAGCGCGGCGUCGGGCUCACAAGUGCUGUGAGCAGCGUGCAGUGCGGCCGCUCCUAUACGUUUGAACUUGUUUAACAUGCACGCCGCACGCCCCGCCCCGCUGCACGCCCAACUCGAGCGUCCACUCAGGCCUUACACUUACGGUCAACUAUGUUGGAAUUUGGAAUGUAUUAGCUAAGAAUGUUGGAAAAAGUAUUGAAGGUUGUGAAAUUUUAUAUCAAGAGUAAGGUCUAUGGUAUAUAUUAUGUAUCGUGGAAGAAAAUGAAAGGGAAAAAUGGUUUUUGCCUCCAGGCAAGCUUGGAAGGGUGACUCUAGCUAACUCUGAAUCUCCAGAAUUGGUCAGAUUUCUAUGAAAAUAUGACAUUGAUAGUGGCACCUUCACACUUUGUCCCUGAAAAUUCUGUGCGGAAUUAGCUUGGCGAAAUGGUCAGAUAGGUGUAUUAUGGUCGUGUGAUAAAGAUUAUAUUGUAUCCGUCUCUUUCUAUACUCUGUAUCUUUAGGUAUUAAAAUAAAAGUAAACAAAAUCUACCCUCAAAUGGCUCCUUAAGGCAGUUGAGGGUAGCUGAAAACAUUACAUGAUCAAAUAAUGUAGGUUAAAGUCAGGUCUUUCAGCCAAGAAUCCAGGCGGUUUUGUAUAUGGUUGGUUAACCAAUAAAUUUUAUAACUACCCGAAAAUGUACAAAUUGUUUGUUUACUUUUAUUCAAAUACAAAAAUACAGAGUACCAUUUUUAAUCAGUUUUGGUCAUAUGGGAAAUGCAACCAUUAUAUCCCUAAAAAGCUGUAAAGUAAGCUGUUUUGCAUGGUCGAGUUAUUAGUAAGUUUUAGGGGAAUUAUAAUUUUGUACAAUAAUGAUUUUUAAAUGAACGUAGUUUUUAAUUAUUAUAAGAUAUUUGGUCCAUUUUGUAUUGUAUGUAUAGUCUGUGUAAAGAAAACUUGGGAAAAUGUUAUUAUAUUUAGUACUAAAAUAUAGUAUUCACUCCCUUUUUGCUAAUGUAACCUAUGAUUUAAAAAAAUGUUUUUCACACGCCAAUAUCAUUGGUUAAAAACAUGAAGGUUGUAUUGUCAACAGAAUAGAGCCAGACCAAGUAAGUUGAAGAUUUUGAUAGCCCAGCGUGUGCAAGUUAAGUAAACUUUAUAAUUUCAUAGAAGUCUGACGUUUAAAAUAACACUUGCACUCUCUGGGCUGUCAACAUCACUGUCAACUUAUCUUGGUCUGGCUCUACAUGUGACCGCGACCGAAAAAACGUCCUGCGUUGUCGCUUGCCAUAAGGACGCCUUGCCAUGUUAUUCAUAUAUGCAAUUCAUACAAGCAAAUCUCGUCUUUAUGGCAAGCGACAAAGUGGAACGUUUUGCUGGCCGCGAUCACAAAUUACGAUGACUGUCUUUGGGAGCGUUGUCAUGGAGAGAUUAAAAGGGUGUAAAUUACUACUCUAUUUCAAUAAUAAAGGUUUUUUGGAAGUUUUCUUUAUAUUAUAUUGUGUAUGUUGCCCUCACGCGCGGCGGGCGCGCGCAAUGUAGAUAUGGUGAUGUAUAAGACAUGUAGGUAGUUAUUCAAAUUCUCUACGAUGUAACGGAUUCUCUGUAACGCCGGUGUAUCUAAAUUACUCACAAUGUUUAGGCGACUGUACCGAAUGUUAAAGGGAGAAAUAAAUAAACAAUUCAAUAAUU